GUGCUUGUUCGGCAGUACAUAUUCUAAAAUUGGAACAAUACAGAGAUUAGCAUAGCCCCUGCACAAAGAGGAUGGAAUUCCUUUUUUUU
rnacentral:snRNA from 1 species